UACGGAGGAUCCAAGCGUUAUCCGGAUUUAUUGGGUUUAAAGGGUGCGUAGGCGGCCUAUUAAGUCAGGGGUGAAAGACGGUAGCUUAACUAUCGCAGUGCCCUUGAUACUGAUGGGCUUGAAUACACUAGAGGUAGGCGGAAUGUGACAAGUAGCGGUGAAAUGCAUAGAUAUGUCACAGAACACCAAUUGCGAAGGCAGCUUACUAUGGUGUCAUUGACGCUGAGGCACGAAAGCGUGGGGAUCAAACAGG
rnacentral:rRNA from 1 species